AUGGAAAUAGGAGAAUUUGAAAUAUGUGAAGUACAAGCACAUGGACUGCAGCGAGAUUUAUGACACAUAUGAAAAACUCUUCGGCAACACCAGUGACUCAACUAAGUACGCGUUGUCCCCAUUGAAGUUGUCGUAGCGUGGUUUUGACUUGGGCACAGAAUAUGCAUGUAUAUCCGUAGCGCAGUGUGGCUACAUUUUCAUAUUGCAGAAUAUGCAUGUCUUUUUGCAAACACGUUUUCAAGAAUUUAGGAUGUAUCUGCUGAUGUUCAUGCACUUCAUGCACAUUCUUCGAGACCAGUAUGACAUAUCGAACAACAUGAAUAUCGAUGUUUAUGAGCAGGUGGGAAUGUUAUUUUGCAUACUUGCACAUAAAAAAGGAUAUCGACAAGUGUAAACUUUGUCCGAUCACUCGUUGCAGACCAUAGCACACUAUUUUAAUAUAGUGCUGCGUGCAUGCUUGGCAUUCGCUGUUACAAUGGUAAAACUAGAUCCAGCAUACAACGGAGGUGCUGCCCACCAUCGGCUCGAUUCGGAGCUCUACCCUCUAUUCCAGGUUUGCGACAGUCAUACAUGAAACUUAAGCUUGGUUACUGUUGCGAAGGUGACAUAAAUUAUGAAAUUGCUAUUUGUGAUGGUGAAAUUGCAAGACUGCAUUGGUGUAAUGAUGAGAUGCACGUCAGAGCUAUGUUGCUUAGUCACAUGAGGAAGAAUUUCAUAGGAAGAAAGAUUAUUCUGACGAAGAACGUCUUAGCUGCCUGUGAUUUUAACCUAUGCUUUAGGUUCGUGUUACCAGAGACAACAAGGAACACGUACGACAUUUGCAUAUUGGCUCCAGCUGUGCAUAGUGCGAAAAUAAAUUUCUCACAACCAACGAGCGGAAAAUAUUUCUUUGUGGACUUGGGGUUCACACACAAGCCUGGGUAUAUGGCACGAUAUAAGGGCUCCGAAAUCAGAUAUCAUUUCCAAGAGUUCGGGAGCUUAGCGAGCAAACAACGGCGUCAUUUUCAUAAUGCACGUGAGCGAUUUAAUUUCCACCACUCUUCAUGUCGGAAUGUUAUCGAGUGGAUGUUCGGUGUUUGAAAAUAGAGAUGGAAGAUUCUAUAUCAAAUGUCAACUUAUAGUAUGAGAGUGCAAACUGUUGUGGUUAUGGCCUCAAUGGAAAUUCGUAACUUCUUUAAAAGAAACGACCGACUCGACGAGGGUUUCCAUAGAGCCGAAGAAAUGGACGAUGACAAAGUUGAGAUCGACCUUCCCGAUGAACAGGAUGACAUUGUUGCCGAACUGGAUGCAAUAGGCACAAAGGAUAUGUCGUGGUAACAUUUGCGUGAUUACAUGGCACGGGCGCUACGUGCGAUGGGGAUGAGAAUAAAAUUUUCUGUUGCGUGCAUUUUCUUUUUUUUGUAACCUGUUUGCAUCAUGUUGUUGUGUCAAGUGUUAUGAUGGGGACGUUUUCAUUGGCAAUUAGAAGUUGUCUGCCAAAAUUUUUGUUUUAUGUAUUAAAGUUUCUUUCCGU
rnacentral:lncRNA from 1 species